rnacentral:rRNA from 1 species
AGCAAUCCUGGUGGCGAGUGGCGAACGGGUGAGUAAUACAUCGGAACGUGCCCUGUCGUGGGGGAUAACUAGUCGAAAGAUUAGCUAAUACCGCAUACGACCUGAGGGUGAAAGCGGGGGACCGUAAGGCCUCGCGCGAUAGGAGCGGCCGAUGUCUGAUUAGCUAGUUGGUGGGGUAAAGGCCCACCAAGGCGACGAUCAGUAGCUGGUCUGAGAGGACGAUCAGCCACACUGGGACUGAGACACGGCCCAGACUCCUACGGGAGGCAGCAGUGGGGAAUUUUGGACAAUGGGGGCAACCCUGAUCCAGCAAUGCCGCGUGUGUGAAGAAGGCCUUCGGGUUGUAAAGCACUUUUGUCCGGAAAGAAAUCCCCUGCUCUAAUACAGCGGGGGGAUGACGGUACCGGAAGAAUAAGCACCGGCUAACUACGUGCCAGCAGCCGCGGUAAUACGUAGGGUGCGAGCGUUAAUCGGAAUUACUGGGCGUAAAGCGUGCGCAGGCGGUUUUGUAAGACAGGCGUGAAAUCCCCGAGCUCAACUUGGGAAUGGCGCUUGUGACUGCAAGGCUAGAGUAUGUCAGA